rnacentral:misc_RNA from 1 species
CCGGUAGGUCCCCCGUCUCUGUGCGGCCGACUACCGGCGCCGUGUCCCGUCAUUCGUGUGGCUUAUGUUACUGUUGCCUUUAAGUGCUUGCGUGCUGGUACCCGACCUACGGGAAGUGGUGCUUCAUACACGGUUGCCUCGCGGUGGACGCCUUUGGGUGUGCUGCUGCGGCCGAAUGGUGCUUGCGGCGUUGCCUCGUGGUGCUGGCACGUUUUUGUGCCUGCUUCUAUCAAGGCAGCCUCGCUUGCGCUGUUGGUUUCGGAUGUCGCUCACAAUAAAAGCUCAUGGCCCUUUUGGUUGCCUUGAACUGACCCUAAAUAAUAUGCCUUCCUCGUUGAGAACAACAGUGUUCCUCAACUCGUAGGUGGAUAUUGGCCCGCUCAAUUGCGACAACUGGCCUGGUGGUUGCCUCUGCCUUUCCACGCAAGUGGACGCGCGAACAACUACCGGCGCUGGACGUCAAAGAGG